GACGUAGGGCGCGAGCGUUGUCCGGAAUUAUUGGGCGUAAAGAGCUCGUAGGCGGUGUGUCACGUCGGCCGUGAAAACCUGCAGCUUAACUGUGGGCGUGCGGUCGAUACGGGCAGACUAGAGGUAUGCAGGGGAGAACGGAAUUCCUGGUGUAGCGGUGAAAUGACGCAGAUAUCAGGAGGAACACCGGUGGCGAAGGCGGUUCUCUGGGCAUUACCUGACGCUGAGGAGCGAAAGCAUGGGGAGCGAACAGG
rnacentral:rRNA from 1 species